AUGGGAAAAUUUAAAUAUUUUUCAAUAAAUUCAUUUAUCUUUGUUAUGUAUUAUUUAUAUUAUAUGUUGAUAUUUUGGUAUAAUUUUUAUUGUUCAAAUAUAUAAUCUGCAUUUUUAACUGCUUUUGCCAUUCAUAACUUCAAAAGUAACUUGUCCUGCUUGAUCUGCAUCUCUCCUGUAUGAUCCGCUUGAUCUGCACUUGUCCUGCUUAAUCUGCAUGAUCUGCUUGAUCUGUCCUGCUUGAACUGCUUUUACCAUUCGGAACCAUAGUCU
rnacentral:lncRNA from 1 species